GACGAACGCUGGCGGCGUGCUUAACACAUGCAAGUCGAACGGCAAGGCACUGCUUUUGUGGGGUGCACGAGUGGCGCACGGGUGAGUAACACGUGAGUAACCUGCCCUUGACUUUGGGAUAACUUCAGGAAACUGGGGCUAAUACCGGAUAGGAGCUCCUGCUGCAUGGUGGGGGUUGGAAAGUUUCGGCGGUUGGGGAUGGACGCGGGGCUUAUCAGCUUGUUGGUGGGGUAGUGGCGUACCACGGCUUUGACGGGUAGCCGGCCUGAGCGGGGGAACGGCCACAUGGGGACUGAGAUACGGCCCAGACUCCUACGGGAGGCAGAAGUGGGGAAUAUUGCACAGUGGGCGGAAGCCGGAUGCAGCAACGCCGCGGGCGGGAUGACGGCCUUCGGGUUGUAAACCGCUUUCGCCUGUGACGAAGCGUGAGUGACGGUAAUGGGUAAAGAAGCACCGGCUAACUACGUG
rnacentral:rRNA from 1 species